UCUGGGCAGAUGCUUGGAGUCCCACCAGCAAUGCAGAAGGCUACAGUGGGCAGUGCAGUCCACAGCACGAAAGACCUCAGAGGAAAGAAAACAGGCUGAGAAAAUGUCAGGAGAUGUGUUUAAGCUAGGGGUUUCCCGAGUACAGGCUCCAGAGCCUGGGGCGGAACAGAAGACAAGGGACAGCUUGAGGGCUGUCAGCAGUGUUCUGACCCAAAUCUGGCUCUCUUCGCCUCGCGCUUGCCCCACCGGGACCUGCUCACUGAACAACACUGGCUGUUUUCGGGCGAAGGCAAUUGAAACCGGCUGGCUACUGACACAGGAAACAACAGAUCCUGGGAAGGAGCCAGUAAGAGGAAAAGCCCAGGACUGUAAAUCCACUCUGUAGUGCCGACAGUAGCGUGUUCCUCAUCAUCCGUCAACCUGGAGGCUCUUCAUUCUCUCCCCAUGGAGUGGAGACUCACCUUUACGCGCAUGCGAUUGAAGUCCCUCCAAAGGGAUGCUCUGGAGCCCUUCGUAGUGGCUGUGUGCCUCUUCAGAUGAUGCUGACAUCUUCCGGAAGGCUGACAGUCUGACUGCAAGAAUGCUCCUCAUUUCUGAAGCACUUCCAGAAAAUACUGGGGAAUUCUCUUAAUUGACUUAAUUGAUGCCAGAUAACCUACCCCAAAUGGGAGCAGUAUGCAGUACUUUCUGGUGGCAGCACAUAUUAAAAAAAAAUAGGCAUGGCAAAAGCAAGACUUCUCACCUGUUGCUUUCGCUCUUGCCACUGAAGUUAAUUUUUCCCCUUAGCUGAUUCCAGACCAGUGUCUCCAGGCUGCCUUUGGUGACUGUUCUCCAGAACCCCCCCAUCCCCAUCCCAUCAUUCUCAAACCGAAUUUGGACUUGGACUGAAAGGGGUGAGUGGGGUUUCAGCCUCUCCAGUGUUCCAGUGUGGGACUGUCACCGUGGGGCUACUCUGAUGGCUGAGGCUUCAGCCCCAAGGACAGAGCAGUUACCAGGUGUUCUGAGCCUCUCAAGUGUGAUCCAGCUGUUGUCACUAUUUUGAAGUAAGCUGGUUUAACAAACUGGUUUUUUUUUGUUUUGUUUUGUUUUUUGUUUUUGUUUUUUCGAGACAGGGUUUCUCUGUGGCUUUGGAGGCUG